rnacentral:lncRNA from 1 species
AGAAAAGACGCGUCUCCGUUGAAACAACCAGUCAGAGACGAAUCACGACUCAAGCCCGAGAUUUCCAAUGCCAAGUCCUUUUCUCAGCGAGUCCUCGGCCCCACAGUUCUCCCCUAGACUCCCAGAUGGGGCCUCGGGGGUCUCGGGGGCUGAGCUGUAGCCGUGCCAUCGCUCCCAACCUUAAUGAGCACAGAAAGCGGAAGUGGGGUGACGUUGUGACAAACCCCCAGAGUGUCGCGGGCCCGUGGUCUGUCCUGACAAAACAUGUGCUCAACUGUCACCUACAGUAACUUGGAAGGCAGACCUUGUGCUGCUCAGGAAAACUUUUUUUUUUUUUUUUGUAAAAUCUGCCAACCCAGACUCCCCCAAAUGUGGAAAAGGAAGCAAAAUCAUUCUGAUUGACUAUGCAUUGAAACCAGAUUGGGAUGCGUCACAGAGACAGAAGGAAUCGCAGCCUCUUUAUACAAAAGAACUUGAAAAAAUUCGUGGGGAAAUGGAAUAUAAAGGUGCAUCAGCAGGGAGCUGGUUUGGAAGGGGAGCAGCCAGGACUCCAACCGGCGCUCUUUUGGGAUGUCCCAGUGCUCCAGUUUUGCAAGAUGGACACGUUCUAAAGACAGAUGGUAGGUCGGCCGAAGCUGCGGCUCAACAGGCUAAUCCUCCACCUGCGGCGCUGGCACACCGGGUUGUAGUCCCAGUCAGGGUGCUGGAUUCUGUCCCGGUUGCCCCUCUUCCAGGCCAGCUCUCUGCUGUGGCCCGGGAGUGCAGUGGAGGAUGGCCCAAGUCCUUGGGCCCUGCACCCCAUGGGAGACCAGGAGAAGCACCUGGCUCCUAGCUGCGGCACCAGCCACAGCGGCCAUUGGAGGGUGAACCUUUAGGAAGACCUUUCUCCCUGUCUCUCUCUCUCACUGUCCUGUCCACUCUGCUAUGUGGCUCCCCCCCCCCCCAUUUACCACCAUAAAGAUGAUCACAUGGUUAACGCACACAGGAGUGAAGGAACUCUGCCUCUUAAAUAAAUACAUAAAAAUAUUUUUAAAAAGUCCCCUG